CAGCCGCCGCGGGAAUACGGAGGGGGCUAGCGUUGUUCGGAAUUACUGGGCGUAAAGCGCACGUAGGCGGCUUUGUAAGUUAGAGGUGAAAGCCUGGAGCUCAACUCCAGAAUUGCCUUUAAGACUGCAUCGCUUGAAUCGCGGAGAGGUGAGUGGAAUUCCGAGUGUAGAGGUGAAAUUCGUAGAUAUUCGGAAGAACACCAGUGGCGAAGGCGGCUCACUGGACGCGUAUUGACGCUGAGGUGCGAAAGCGUGGGGAGCAAACAGGAUUAGAUACCCCGGUAGUCCCUGUCUCUUAUAC
rnacentral:rRNA from 1 species